GGCAGAAGGCCUGGUGCUGCGUGGUGGAGUGUCUUCACGCAGUGCGUCGGCUGUUGGCCGCUGCCAUCUGGUGUCCUAACGGGAGGAACGGCGGAGUGGAGAGGGCGGGCAAGCCGUAGGCUGCACGCUGCGCGUCGUCCAGCAAGGAGCCGGGCUAGGAUGGGUCUGACCUCCGCCGUCUUCGUCGACGGCCGCGCCGUGAGCCGGUAAUCAGGAGCCAUAGAUGCGUGUGCAAGCGCAGGGGACGAACACCUGAUCCGGGCUCGCGUCGUUCGCUUGGUCCGAGGGGUCGAGGGCCACUAGUUCCUCAACGCCGGAGGGCGCCACGCCUGAGGGCGUCCUCAGCCGGUGGUUGCUGCUCCGAGCACCGAGCGCCGCCCACUGUAAGGCACCGCACCGGAAGGGCGGCCGCCGCUCGACGCCGAUGGGUAGUGGCCUCGCCCGGGCCCUCCGUGGUUUGUUAUAGACACACGCUCGAGGACUUCGUUGCCGGAGCGUCACUCGACGGCAGUGUCUCUGCCUCCAGAUGCGAGAGAGCCCCUCGUCGCUGUUUUUCCUUCUUUUCUUCUCUGCGGCUAAAUUGCUUUCGGUAACGAGCGUGGUGAUAACGUGUCAGAGUAAAAUGAGAUUGAAUGAAAGUGAAUGGAUCAGCAGUCCUCUUUCUAUUG
rnacentral:sRNA from 1 species